GACGAACGCUGGCGGCGUGCUUAACACAUGCAAGUCGAACGAAGAGCGACGGAAGCUUGCUUCUAUCAAUCUUAGUGGCGCACGGGUGAGUAACGCGUAAUCAACCUGCCCUUCAGAGGGGGACAACAGUUGGAAACGACUGCUAAUACCGCAUACGAUCUAACCUCGGCAUCGAGGAUAGAUGAAAGGUGGCCUCUACAUGUAAGCUAUCACUGAAGGAGGGGAUUGCGUCUGAUUAGCUAGUUGGAGGGGUAACGGCCCACCAAGGCGAUGAUCAGUAGCCGGUCGGAGAGGAUGAACGGCCACAUUGGGACUGAGACACGGCCCAGACUCCUACGGGAGGCAGCAGUGGGGAAUCUUCCGCAAUGGACGAAAGUCUGACGGAGCAACGCCGCGUGAGUGAUGACGGCCGUCGGGUUGUAAAGCUCUGUUAAUCGGGACGAAAGGCCUUCUUGCGAAUAGUGAGAAGGAUUGACGGUACCGGAAGAGAAAGCCACGGCUAACUACGUG
rnacentral:rRNA from 1 species